AGAGUGAACGCUGGCGGCAGGCCUAACACAUGCAAGUCGAACGGCAGCACAGGAGAGCUUGCUCUCUGGGUGGCGAGUGGCGGACGGGUGAGGAAUACGUCGGAAUCUGCCUAUUUGUGGGGGAUAACGUAGGGAAACUUACGCUAAUACCGCACACGACCUACGGGUGAAAGCGGAGGACCUUCGGGCUUCGCGCAGAUAGAUGAGCCGACGUCGGAUUAGCUAGUUGGCGGGUAAAGCCCACCAAGGCGACGAUCCGUAGCUGGUCUGAGAGGAUGAUCAGCCACACUGGAACUGAGACACGGUCCAGACUCCUACGGGAGCAGCAGUGGGGAAUAUUGGACAAGUGGGCGCAAGCCUGAUCCAGCCAUGCCGCGUGUGUGAAGAGCCUUGGUUGUAAGCUACGUUUGUAACGGAAGAAAGCUCGUAGGUUAACUACCCGUGGA
rnacentral:rRNA from 1 species